rnacentral:rRNA from 1 species
UCAGUACGGUCGGAAAUCGUACGUAGAGUGUAAAGGCAAAAGAGAGCUGGAUUGCAAGACAUACAGGUCGAGCAAGGAUGAAAAUCGGACUUAGUGAUCCGGUGGUGCUGCGUGGAAGGGCCAUCGCGCAACGGAUAAAAGCUACCCUGGGGAUAACAGGCUUAUCUCCCCCAAGAGUCCACAUCGACGGGGAGGUUUGGCACCUCGAUGUCGGCUCAUCACAUCCUGGGGCUG